rnacentral:lncRNA from 1 species
GUUUUGCCUUAAUAGGCUGGGUAGUAAUAUAAUUGCCAUGUCAUGCUAUCGAAACUUUUAUUGAUUUGGUGGGAUAUUGAUUAGUCACUGUAGUGGCGGGUUUUCGUGGACCAGCCUAUUAGAGAGAGGCAUGGUAAACUCGGUUAUAUUUUACCUCGGUACGAGAGGCGCAGAGGGUAUCUCCUGAGGUAAAGCUUUAGAGUUCACUACAUGCUAAACCACCACGUGAGGGUGAACUCAGCCAACGCCAAGGAACGACUAUGCUUUUAAACGUAAAAAUGUGUUUUAUGCGUAUAUGAACUUUUCUUUAACAGCCUUGGUGGACUUGGUUGGAUGCCCCGACCAAGGUAUCCCAGAGAAUGAGUUUUGG